UACAGAGGUCUCAAGCGUUGUUCGGAUUCAUUGGGCGUAAAGGGUGCGUAGGCGGCGCGGUAAGUCGGGUGUGAAAUUUCGGAGCUUAACUCCGAAACUGCAUUCGAUACUGGCGUGCUUGAGGACUGGAGAGGAGACUGGAAUUCAUGGUGUAGCAGUGAAAUGCGUAGAGAUCAUGAGGAAGACCAGUGGCGAAGGCGGGUCUCUGGACAGUUCCUGACACUGAGACACGAAGGCCAGGGGAGCAAACGGGG
rnacentral:rRNA from 1 species